AACGAACGCUGGCGGCAGGCUUAACACAUGCAAGUCGAAUGCCCCGCAAGGGGAGUGGCGGACGGGUGAGUAACGCGUGGGAAUCUACCCAUCUCUACGGAAUAACUCAGGGAAACUUGUGCUAAUACCGUAUACGCCCUUCGGGGAAAGAUUUAUCGGAGAUGGAUGAGCCCGCGUUGGAUUAGCUAGUUGGUGGGGUA
rnacentral:rRNA from 1 species